CAGCACGAAAAACCACUGGCUCAGAAAAACAAACAAAUCAUACUUCCGGGAUUCAACCAAGGCCCUGCAGUGACGUCAUCUUCAAGUCCUUCAUUUCUUGGUCCUAGGCAAAGAUUUGAGGAGAGUCACAUCGAUGAAGUGAGCCCAUUCCACUGGCAGCCAUAUAGGACCAAGCCAUGUCUCACAGAUGAGGUUCCCUGAUGUUACUGGAGCCACUGAUACAACCAAGAAAACUUGUUGUGGUUGAAAUGAGAAUAUUUUGCCACAGAUCCUUGCUCUGCAUUGGGAACGUGCAACUAUGCACCAAAACUUUAUGUACCAAAUCUUGAAGAAAUAUAACAUCACAUCACAUGGAUAUUAAAGAAAAUGUCCAAGCUCAGAACAAUAUUACAAGAUUUUGUUGAAUAAAUGCACAAACAUCCUGAUUGCAACACACCUUGAAGCAGGUGGGGUAGUUUUCUAUUUCUUUAUACAUGUUCUUCUCCUUCUGAAGUGACACUGCAGC